rnacentral:rRNA from 1 species
AACGAACGCUGGCGGCAUGCCUAACACAUGCAAGUCGAACGAGACCUUCGGGUCUAGUGUCGCACGGGUGCGUAACGCGUGGGAACCUUCCCUUAGGUUCGGAAUAACUCCCCGAAAGGGGUGCUAAUACCGGAUAAUGUCUUCUGACCAAUGAUUUAUCGCCUUUGGAUGGGCCCGCGUUGGAUUAGCUAGUUGGUAGGGUAAAAGCCUACCAAGGCGACGAUCCAUAGCUGGUCUGAGAGGAUGAUCAGCCACACUGGGACUGAGACACGGCCCAGACUCUUACGGGAGGCAGCAGUGGGGAAUGUUGGAAAAUGGGCGAAAGCAUGAUGCAGCAAUGACGCGUGAGUGAUGAAGGCAUUAGGGUUGUAAAGCUCUUUUAACCGGGAUGAUAAUGACAGUACCGGGAGAAUAAGCCACGGCUAACUACGUG